CUGUAGUCGACAAGAAGCGAUCUCUUUCAUUUCAAUUUUAAGUUUCCAUUUCUCAGUUGAUGUUUCGCCUGCUUCAGGGAAACCACCCCUACACCAGAUUUUCGUUUUUUAACCACUAGUUAGUACAAUUACGUUCAUAUAAGACCCAGAAAUUACUGAUUUAAUCAGGAUAAUUAAUAAUCAGUUCAUGUUUUUUUUGCAUUUCAGCAGAAAUAGCCUAGAUAUCUCUGGAGUCGUUUGAGACGUUUGGCCAUAGUCAGCUCGUUUUUAGUCACUUGUAUUUGCUACUUUGAAAAACAUCUUCAUUACAAAGGACAUGCGAUAAGUCUGAAAACAUGAAAUUCUUUUUGUGAGAUUAGCACUUCAUUUUACCCUUACGAUAAAAAUAUUGGGUUAAAAAAAGUUUGAAACAAAUGCAUUUAAUUUAGUCAAACUAUGUAUGCUAUUCAAUCUUCUGUUUAUUUCAAAUGCUUUCAAACAUAAAGGCCAUCUCCCAAGACCGCUGUCAAGCUACAAAGCCCCAUAUCCAAAGGACAAAAAUGGGAUUGUGUGAUGCUUACAUGUUAUGACAGGUCUUGUCCCUACGGCAGAUCAAGAUUGCGUGUUUGUGGGCAUGGGUGUUUCUGAAGAAAUGAAAGGCACAAGACCGAUCAGUUUCGCUUUCCAUUCAUUACCAGACUAAAUGAAGAUGCCUAUUAUUACCAAGGUCACUUGCUACAGUGUCAUCGCAGAUGAACGUGUUCAAGUGUCUGCAAAAUCAAUCAACCACACACGCAAAGUCUCCACUAUACCCAAGACCUGUCUCAUAUAUGAUGGUAAAAGGUUAUCGUUUGCGUGAAGGAAAUGCAUGUGUAAUACUGUUUAGAAUUAGUUUGUGUGUGUGUUAAAUGUAAAGUGUGACACUGAACAAUGUCUAUACAAAUACAUUACGUUCUCCUGGUUGGAUUAAUGUA